CUGUACACACCCUUAAUCUGCAGCCUCUCCCCUGGUUUUAGUGGUUUAUCCACUUAAUAAUCUUCACCACCUAAACUGUACGGGCCUGAUUUUUCAGAUUUCCCGGUUCAGCCUGUGAUUUUUUAGAUGCCAAAUUGCACCUACAGCUUGGUUAGAGCAAUUUUUCACGGACUUAUUUCAAAGCUUGUGUGUGUAAAUUCCCUGCAGGGGUAAAAAGAGGCAGCUACAGUUACUUUAAGGAGAAUUUGGUGCUGCCUGUCCAUCUACACAGGUAUGCAUGCACACUUGCACCCAUAGAAUUGGGGACCCUUGUUUACAAGUCAUUCCUGGGCCCAAUUCAGUCUUCAUUUUCACUUCUGCAGUUCCACUGAGGUCAAUCAGUUUGCUUCGGUGAAAACCAAGGCAGGAUUUGCCUAUUGUCUACAGUGUUUUGUAAUGCCUACAGCCAAUAAGAUGACAUUCUAGGCUGGUGUUUUCUUGCUAGUACCCAAACUAUGAUUCCAUUAAUAUCGUUUUUUCACCAAAAAAAUUAAUGGCCAUUAAUAGCACUGGAUCAUCAGUCUCUCUUGGCAUUGCAUGGAUUAUUUCUUCUAAGAUUUUUAUGUACCAUACACAAACUUUUAUAUGUCCUACUUUCUAUUACCCUUCUCCAGUCCCUUCUCUUCCUGCCCCCUCAACCAGUUUGGGUAAAUUGAAAUUUUACAGCACAUAGUAGUCAGUGUAUAACAUGUAAAAAGAAACCUAUAAAAUAGACACUCAAAAUUAUCCUGGUGCCUGAGGACACACGUAGGCUUCAGGGUUUAAUGAAUAAGUUUGGAAAGACCUCUGCAGAGUGGGCAUUCUAGACAUUUACACCAUGGCUGAGAGCUACAUCAAAAUCAACCAUGGCUUCUCACAUACAGCAGAUUUAUAUGUGCAUAUACAUAUAUGUGCAGGCAAUAGACAGGGAAAGAGAUAUAUGCAAGUACACACUGAUAUUACAUGCAACACCAAGACAAAAUAAUCUACCAAAAUAUAUCUCCUCCCAAGGAUAAAAUGUAGUGAUUUAAGCCCAUUCCUAUAUGCAAUGCAUGUUGCAGGAUGAGAGUCUACAUUUUCAGCUCUAGACAAGUAAGACCCAAGAAAAAUGCCUUCUCUUCUCAAUCAGUGACUUAGUUGGGAAUGAUGGACAGAAAUCCUGCUCCUACUGAAAUCUUUGGGAGUUUUGCUCACUGGAAACUAGAUUAGACCUAGAAUGUGACAAGAAUUGUGAAUAACUAAUUCAGCACACGUGUUUGUGAAUGGAGAGAUCCUGUUGUAAGAGACAGGGUGGCUACACAAACAAGUUACCACAAGGUAAGUUACUGGGUGAGGCACUGUAAAUUUUUACCCUAGCUAACCUUGGGGUGACAUCCUUGUAUAGCUGUACUCAAAACUGGUGUGCUGACAUGCAGAGUGAAGGGGUUUUUCAUACUGUUGCUGGUGACUAAAACAGACCAAUUAUUUUCAAGUGUGUGACUUUAAUUCAAGAAAAAAAUGAUUGCACAAUCAUGUAUGUGUGUUUGCGUGUUUGUAAAAAUCAGACCAAUGACACUCUGUGCGCCUUUUUGUUUCACUGUGGUGUGUUAAAGCAGCCUUAUUUUUUGACUGGUAUGACAUGCACUCUGAAAAAGAGCUUCUUAACUCUGUCAUUUUCAAGGUUACCAUAAUGUUACUUAGUUUUUUUACAGGAGGAAAGUGCUACCGCUUUCUGCAUGAGAAAAUGAUGAUAACUUGUUGGAGAUUGUAUGCUGUUCACACUGUGGUCCCAGAAAAUAGCAAAAGACCAGGUAUUAACUCAGAUUCUGAUCCAGCUAAGCACAUAACCACAUGCAUAAAGUUAAACGUGUUUAAGCACUUUUGCUGAAGCAAGGCCUUACAAAAUCUGAGAAUUUUAUAAGCAAUUGUUUACAUGAUUGGUGAACUACUUGGCAUUGGUGUUUGAUCCUUAGUUGUUACCUGCUCUAAUACAGAAUUUCUCAAUGUUCACAACUUAAUAGGGGUGAGACCACAGGUGAGAAGUUUUAAUGGGCUGUAUUCUGACAUAUCUGCUAACUAUGAUGCUGCACUAGAAGUAUAUUGCACUAGUUAUUUCCAUUACAGAAGUUGAUGUAAUGCAGCUAGUUACUACGGACAUCAAACUCCUCCUCUUUCCAUAGACAAGUUGUAACAGGAGAAGAAAAAUGGUUUCUGUAAUGGCAGCACAACAGCUGUUAGCCCUAGUGCUAU